UUAAGAAUACUUGCCCAAAUAAUGGCUGCAUUGUCACCUCGGUCACUUUAAAAUAUGGGCUCCACAUUUCACCUUCCCCUCACACCACAUAUAUUUACACGAUGCAAUAAAAGAUUGUAUGUCAAUCUCAUGCCUUGUUUUGAAAUCGAUUAAGUAAAAAAUGGUACCCUUAUGUGUGCACUUGCCAGAGAGGUGCAUUCAAUACUUCCCUACUUGAGGGGAUCGCAUAUACUAAAUUAAAAUGCAGUGAUCACAUCACAAAUUAUAAAUUGUUUUCUUAAUUUACACACACCGUACACCUGCUUUCCCAAAUCGGCAUUACCAUAUCACCAUAUAUCCAACCUUUAGGCGCAACAGGCAACCUACAAUUGGAGUGAUGGUUUAGUAAGAAAGAACAUUUAGCACAAAGAAAGAUGAAUUUUGAAAGAAAAAAACUUAGAAAAAAUUGAUGCUCGACUCACUACUAAUACCAUCUAAUAAUAUGCAAGAUAGUAAUAAGAGGUCAAGCCAAUCAAGUGAAAGACGUUUGAACUGGAAUUAGACACAUUGUACAUCAUCAAUCAUUAGGAGCUGGACCCCAUAGAAUCUUUUCGGGUUCAGUUGUAUGAUUAGAAUUUGGCUUCAAACUAACUAAACUAAAGAGUUUUUUUUUCUUGUCCACCCUUCAGUUGCCAAAUUAUGAUUCAUAAAGUUAUAGCGCAUCUUGGAAAUGUUAUAAUAGUUUUGGUUACACGGUUCAUGAUAUACCUAUGGAUAUUAUACUGACUGAUAGUCCAUGGUUCAUUUGAGCUCACUUUGGCGCGAAUGCAGUGAUGAAGGUUCGACAUGCAGUUUCGGAUUUCCCUUCUCAUUCAGUGCAGCUUCCCUCAUGAUGUAUGCCACAUGCUAAUAUGAACUUUCUCAUUGUAUAUAAAUUUUCAUGAGAGAAAAAGAGAAAAGAUGCUCCAGUUUUCCUUGCAGCUCAAUUUUCACACCCUUCCCAGGUUAAUAUUCACUAUUUUCUUUGGACCAUCUUUAUGCUGCCUUUUCUCUGUACACACCUCAUCAAAACUGAACAAAGAGGCAUCACAUAGGUUUAGAUGGCGCGUGUGAACAUGGUUUAAGAUAUGAUGUUUCUUGGAGAGAGCAAACUUACCUUUUCCAUUUCAUGGUUUAUUAACUAAAAUAUUGAUCGACGGCACAUUCUGAUGCUUCAGCUUUGUUUUUGCCUUCUUGUCACUUAAUUAGGCACUAUAGUAAGAAAGCAUACUGAAUGAGACUCGAAGGAAUUUUGAUGUCAACUUGUAAUUAGCAAAACUUAAAAUGAUCUCUUUAAACAAGUAUCAGAUUAAAGAAACCAAUAUAGAACCAUAUUAAAUAGGGACUGAGCUUAGCUGGAAGGUGAGAAAGAAAUUACAAUUGCUAUUGGUGCAACAUUACAAAAUUUAGCUUAGCUAUCUAUCAGAUUUCUUGACUCAAAUUCCAGCUAGCAAAGAAGAAGAAUGAAUCCCCAGAAAAACCAUGCUAAACGAAAUAGAGACUCAUCGAUUGACCUCAAUCACAUUAUUUGUUAAAUAGAGACUGAGCAAAGAGGGAAGGUCAGAAAGAAAUUACAAUUGCUAUUGGUGCAACAAUACAAAUUUUAGCUUAGCUAUCUAUCAGAUUUCUUGACGCAAAUUCUAGCAAGCAAAGACGAAGAUUGAAUCCCCAAAAAUCCAUGCUAAACCAAAUAGAGACUCAUUGAUUUACCUCAAUUAAAUUGUUUAUAAAACAUUGUACAUGAACUUGUUUUAAAUACAUGACAAAAUCUAGCUGAGCUAAACCUUCCUGGAAUCUUAUGUGGAUUUUUAGAGUUUAGACCAAGGAGAAAUGGGGAAAUAAUUCAUGAUAGAGGGUAGUGCAUGCAGGAGCCUCCGAAUAGCGGGUAGCCUAGCGAGGUUUGUAGGAAAAAGGUGGCUUUUGUCUCAUCAGUGAGUUUGUUGCCCAAUGCCCGUGCUACUGAUAUAAUGUCGUUCAUGACAUACCUCGCCCAGUUCCAAUUUGGGAUGUCAUCUAAAUUUUCAAGAGCCACAAAAUAUGCUGGAAGAAUAACUACAGAUCAAAUGGACCUCAAACUUUAUCUCACCGUGAACACCACAUAAAUCACAUUCUAACAUGGAGGCCUCAGCCAUCGCCAAGGCAUCUCAUGGAACAUGGGGGAAACUCCAAAUCGAACAGAGCAACACAAAAAUAGGAAUCAGGCAUGAGGAAAGGGGAAUAAGCUAACCUGGGUAAUGGGAUCAGCAGGUCGAGGAGGGUGCCACCGUGCCAGCGGCCUCCACAAGGAUAAUCUUGCACACGAUGUCGCCUCAAGCAAUGGAUCGCAACCACCAGAACCGAAGCACUUGUUGUUCAUGGUUUCAGUUAUGAGAUAUCCCGUCAACUGAGGUACAAAUCACAAAUAGGUCAGCUCACGAGCUAAAGAAUAUAAUCUUAUCCAAGAAAAGACAAAAUAGUCCAGAGCAGCAAAGCUUUAUUAAGUUCUUUACUAAGAAAGCGAACUUAGUAAUUACAGCCCAAACAGAGAAUAAAUGGUUUAGAACAGGCAUAAAUCUGAUCCAUCUUCCAUCAUCAAUAAUAAAGAUAGGAAAUCUUGAAAUCCUUGAUCCAAACAUCAGAAGUCACAAAAGUCGAAGCAAACAGUGAACUGAAAAUUACUCCGAAAAAAACUUUUAUUUUGUUGACUCUAGACGAAGCCCAUGCUUUGUUGUCCUGGCAAUACAACAAAUUACUGGCCCAAGCUUGAAGUACUAACAAGAACGAAUCCCUUUCGUUAUUAAUUCAUUCAAUGAACAGCAGAGAAAAUGGAUGCUUGUGCAGGCAUCGUAAUGAAUGGUACUUGAUUUAGAGAAAUAACUAUGCUAAUAUAUGACUUCGCUAACUAAUCAAUCUGCUGCAAUCACAGUUGGUGCAUAACACUAAACGAGCACUUGUGAUCAGGGCAACGGUUAUAGAUAAGUAAAGAGAAAUUACAAAACAAGGUAUGACGAGACUACCAAAUCAGCCUGAGAAAGUAGAAAGUAGGAUCAACGGAAACAUAACAAAGGAAACAGAAUAAUGAAUAUUUAGUGGAGAUGAGCUAGUUGAACCUACAGGCCAGAGGAAGAGCUCACCGGAAGGUUAGGCCAGCGAAUUUGGGACCGAUCCCUAGAAGGAAGAAGCGAAGAACUAAAGAACACAUCUUGUUCACGCCUAACUAUGUUGUGCAAUUGUGCCGAUGGCCUCGUCGUCUAAGGCAAAUACAUGUCUCCAUCAUAAAUCAAAAGCGUGAACUGGGAGGACUUCUGCAAUUGCUAAGCGAAUCAUGCAUACAACCAUGACAGUGGCUACAAAUUUGAGUUUCUUCACCUCCCGAUGCAAUUACAACAUAUGAUUAUGCACAUAUAUAAUAGUAGUAUGAUGGAUUAACUACCAUCAAGAAGAGAACAUAAACUGACAGAUUUUCCGGUAAAAAAAACUGGCUGCAUUAAUGUUUACCUUUCCCACUGCAUAACCAAAUGUCAUUAACUAUCAAAUUAGUCGCAAAUAAGCCAAAUAUCACCAACGGGUUGCUACCUUGAUGCUUUAUAUUUCUUCUAUGUGUCUUGCUGUCCCCUUCAAGUAACUGACGCGCCCGGUCGAUCCCAAAGGUUGCUAUUUCCUUGUGGAGUUUCUUAUUGACAUAGAUCUGAACAAAAAUGGAGGGACCAAAUAAAUUUCAGAUUUAGGAGUCAGGAACUAACAGUUGUAAAUCCACACCAAUGAACACAAAUACAACCUGAUUAUGUGGCAGACCUUUAACAGGAAAGGUAAAAUCUGUAGCAUAGUUUGCAACUUAAAAUUAUAGGUCACUAAAGUGCAUGCCACAACAUAAGCAAAAUUCAUCUAACAAACCUCGAGCUUGUGUACGACUGUCUUAUUAAGCACAUCAUGCUGACAUGCAAACUCGUGAUUGGAAAAAAGAAGUUACUCUAGCGAAAACUGGUGCUAAGCAGUAAUGGGAGCUAGAGGGAGCACCGCUUCUGAACAUUCUAAAACAAUGAAAAGGCGUGCUUACAUCUAUGAAGCUAAAAAUAGUACACCGAACCAUAUUGAUUGAAUACGGGUAACAACGGAAAAACAAUUAAUUGGAGUGCAGAAUCUGCAUAGAAUAGAACCGGAACACAUCAAUCUAGGCAUCUAACUAGCUUCUGCCAUCAGGGUUGCUUGCUAAUUGCAACAAUAUUCAUAACUGAAGAUUCAAUGAGAACUACCAAGGGAUAAAAAAAGGGAACUGAAUCUGUUCACUCAAUGUGUGCAUGACCUGCAAUGUCCUCACAUAUGAGUAAUUCAUCAAAGAAACCAUAAAAAAUUCAUCAAACAAAAAACACAAAUGGAAGGCAAGCUUACCUGAAUGGGGAUUGCCCGUGACCUGGAUCUCGUCGUUCGCGUGCUGGUGAUCUGCUACUAUUUGAACAACAACUCUGCCCGCUGAUGCUGUCCAAACUGUGCAAAUUUAUCCAUACUAUCCCUGCAAUUGUUAAGAUCAAAAUCAGCAUCUUUUACAACUAAUGCAGAGUAUGAAUUUCUCGGCAGACAAAAAAGGCUUUGUAGAUUCAGUAUAGUUGACACAAACAAAAUGCAGUACCUGCUUUCCUCAAGAACCCGUGUCUGAAAGAUGUGGAGAGAAAAUUGCAAAAUAUGAGCAUUAGUACUUCUUAGGUAUCACAGAAAUUCAAUGCAACUUCAACAAGACCAGCGCUUGCUUUUCACACUAUUGAAAAUUCACGUCUUCCAUAUUUGAUCCACCUUUCCGCUGGGCAAAACAACAAAUAUGUGGGGGCAAAAUAUCUAUUUAUGCUCAGAAAAGAAAUUACCAAAUAUCCGGCCACGAGCGCGUGUGUGAGAGGACCGAGGAGAGAGUGUGCGUGACAGCGAGAGAGGAUGAAGGCAAGGACGUGGGGGCUGAUCUCUCGGGUGGAUGGACGGCAGCGCGAAAGCCGGACGGAGCUGGCCGUCUCUGCAGCCCACGCUCCUCUUGCCGACGAUGGCGCCGUGGACCACCGCUGCGACUCAAGCUCCUCCCGGGGUCGCUGCUGCACGCGUGGAGAUGGAGGCGGGGUGCAGCCUUCCGUGCAUCGCGCACGAGCCCCAGCCUCCUCGCAGCUCCCGAUCCAGGAACGGGUCGAGCCGCCGCCAACCGUCAGAUCGAGCCCGACCUCGCCGGCGCAGGCCGACGCCGGCCGGUGACCCUCUCCCGUCAGCCGCCACACCUCACUCUCCUCUUCCCUCUCUCUUUCUCCCUCCUCUCCUUCCUUCUCUCUCUCUCAUCUUCUCUCUCUGCCGGGGUUCGUGCGGGAGGAGGGGAUUGGGAAGGCGGCGCAAAGGAGAGGGAGGAAGGAGAGGAGGCAGUGCGGAUAUUUUCUAGGGCUCGGCUCACUCCACCCAGAACGAGGUACACCUUAGUCAUGAUAAAAAGCAACUGAUUACUG
rnacentral:lncRNA from 1 species